rnacentral:lncRNA from 1 species
AAGUAUUGAGCAGGACCUUUUUAGGGCUGUAGGGCCUUUUACAAAGCUGGGAUUUAUUCAGUUUAAUCUAUUUUAUGCAAAUCGCGAAUUAAUCGUUAUAAACCCGACCGGGAACAUCCCUAGGCGAUACAACCUGCCAUAUAGGACUUACCAACGGAAUUACAAGGUUUAUACCCAAUUUAAUUCAUCACUAACCAUGUCGGGAAAACCUCUUUUAGGGCUUACCAACGCCAUGAUUUAAGCUUAGUUUGCUAUAAAAUCUUAAACUAAACCCAUGCUAACACCUUAACCCCUUCAAGGCAAGCUCUUAUUUUAGAGUCAUCGCCUUUUCAGAACAUCCCAAAGAUUUUUAGGUAUUCUAAAUUAUAUUUCCCCAUUUAUAAAGGAUUUAUCAAAAGAUACUGCUAUUUUAUAUGAAAGNNNNNNNNNNNNNNNNNNNNNNNNNNNNNNNNNNNNNNNNNNNNNNNNNNNNNNNNNNNNNNNNNNNNNNNNNNNNNNNNNNNNNNNNNNNNNNNNNNNNNNNNNNNNNNNNNNNNNNNNNNNNNNNNNNNNNNNNNNNNNNNNNNNNNNNNNNNGAACUUCCUUGUUUAACUUUGGCUAAUCCAGAUUGGAAAAAGACUGUAGAAACUGAUGCUUCAGACAUAGGUUAUGCUGGUAUUUUGACUCAGUUUUCCCUUGUUGAAAGAAAAGAUUAUAUUAUGCAAUUUUAUUCAGGAAAAUGGAAUGACAGCCAAAAGAAUUAUGCAACGAUAGCAAAAGAAAUUUUAGCCACUGCUAAAUGUGUUUUAAAAUUUGAAACAGAUUUAUAUAAUCAAAAGUUUUUAAUUAAGACAGAUUUUCAAGCUGCUAAAUUUAUGUUUAAUAAAGAUUUUAAACAUAAAGUGUCUAAACAAAUGUUUGCAAGAUGGCAAGCAUUAUUAGCUCCGUUUGAUUUCGAAAUAGAAUAUAAAAAAGGGAUUGACAAUAGUUUACUAGAUUUUCUCACUAGGGAAUAUUUAGUUAAUACUUAAUAUUUAGUUUUGCAGGAUGAGGCCAAGCUGACCAAGAUCCUCUUCGGGAAGUGGUCGAGGAAAUACCCCGAAUAGAUUUCAGACAUUGGGACAUAUUCCUAAUAGAUUUAUCGAAGCAGGAUCUUCACUUCAAAUGGUGAUACCAGUAUAAGACCUUCUUUUGAAGAUUAUAAAAAAUAUCUAGAUUUCAUUGCCAGCAAUGCUGGAACUGGGGGUAGCAAAUCUUUAUUUUUAAGUAGAGUUAUCGAAUUACAUGACUGUAGUUCUGAUACCAAAAGGGACCACCACUUUAUGAACCAAGUUAGAAUCUGUGUACUUCUGAAAACAUGAUCAUCAUUUUCAUAAAAUAAUAUAAAAUAAAGAUUAUGAACAUGAUAAUGAAGAAUCUCAUGCCGCAAUAACAGGCAAAAUAGAUAAUGAGAUUUUUGAAACAAAUUUCACAAAAGAAAUUAUCUUAUACGUGGAACAUAAAGAUUUCCGAUGGAAACACAAUCCAUGGAUUGUCAUGAAAAGAUAUUUAAACAAUGCAUUAUUUCCAAUGCAAACAUACAAGACAAGAUUACAUUUUGAAAUGAUUUUAACAACUACAGGGUCUGUUGAAAUUACCCAUAAUAAUUCUGGUGGACCUAAUAAAUCCUAUUUUUCUUUCUCAAGAAUGAUUAUUAAAAGAAUAAUUUUACCAGAAGAGUGGGGAUUAAGCACUCUAAAAGAUUGUCAAUACGUACAUCCUGUACAAAAGAUUUCCAUCAAUUAUAAUUAUUGGGAUUAUGUUGAUGCUUUUUCAAAAAUAUUAUUUUAUGAAAAUGAUGAUCAUCGACAUUCUUGGUUUAUCAAAAUAUGUGCACUCCACGGACCUCACAGGACUGUCAAAUAAUGAAUUUGUGCCCAUUUCCCAAGAAACAUGGGCGGAGUCAAAAUUUUCCUAUUAAGAAACCUUAAGGGAAUAUUUUUUUUUAUUUUCACCCAAAACUCUUCUAACUUCCGAACUAUUCAUCCCCGCAAGUCGUAAUUUAGGAAAGGAAAGUGUGGAAAGUUUUAUUUAAAGAAACGGGGUUCUAAAUAGUAAAAGGAACAGUUGGGUCGUUACAUUAUCCACCUCUUAAUCAAGCGUUCGUCCUCGAGCGGACAUAAAAGAAAAGUACCGAGACUGCUGAAUAGGUGGGGAUAUCAGCUCCGCAUGUCCUCCUUGGACUCCCAGGUCGCCUCCUCAACCGGUUGGAUCCUCCACAGGACCCAUACCGCAGUAACACUCUUGGACCACAACUGCCGGUCCUGUCUAUAAACAAUGUCAACUGGCUCCUCCUCGUAGCCCAAUCUCUCAUCCAACUGAAUGGUACUGAAGUCCAAUACAUGAGAGUAGUCAGUAUAGCACUUACGAAGCAUAUAUACAUGGAAAACCGAAUGGACUCUGAUAAAAUGGAGGUUAAUCAAGCUCAUAAGCACUAAAGGACCAGAUGGCAAAUUAAUUGGCCAAGAAUUAUUGGACACUAUCCAGAAUACUAUAAGUAAAUAUGGCAAGAUUAUUCCAGAAAUUCCGAUUGCUGAAGAAAGUCAUUUUGCUAGAAUAACUAAAAAAAUCCAGAUUAAAAAUGGUGGUCUUUUGUCCCAAGAAGAAUUAAUUGAUGCCUACAUGGAACAAGUUAAACAAGACAUUCAGGGACAGAUUACAACUGGAGAUGAUGUUUCAAUGGGUGACAACAAUUUUGAGGAUUCCCAGAGUAUCAAUAGUGUUAACUCAGAAGAACUGUCUGAGAUUAUUAAAAAGGCAGAAGAAGAAAUUUUACAUCAGAACUAAUUAUUUGGAGACUAUUUAGAAGAAAGAAGAAAAGAUUCCCGACAAAAGAUGGCUUUGGCAAAAGAUGGUUUUUUAUAUAACUUUUUGACUUUUUAGCCAAAAUACUAUGCACUUUUACUAUUCAACACUGUGCAAUUUUUGGCCUUUCUUUUUAAAUUUUCUAUAUAAGGAAGAAGAUUUUCAUCUGGAGGGGCACGGUUAGGAAAAACCCCUCUCUCUCUCUUUAUGAUUGCUCUUCCUUCUCUCUACAUCCUUGUAAUAUUUUUGUAAUAUACUUUUGUAUCAUAAAUAAAAGUUCAAGAUUUCUGCAUAUUCCUGGUAGCCAGGUAUUUCUUUAUUCUCAUUAUUUAAAUAUUAUUUAUAUUAAAAUUUUGUUAUUAUAAGAAGCCCAAUGAUGGGCUAAGUUCUUAAGUGUUGAAUAACUAUUGUUUAUAUUAAAAUUUUGUUAUUAUAAGAAGCCCAAUGAUGGACUAAGUUCUUAAGUGUUGAAUAAAAACUGAUAUGGCUUGAGGACGAUCUGGAAAGGUGAUGACUCUAAACUAAGAGCUUUCCUUGAAGGGGUUUAAGGUUUUAGCAUGGGUUUGGUUUAAACAAUUUUAUAGUAAACUAAGCUUAAAUCAUGGCGUUGGUAAGCCCUAAAAGGGGUGUUCCCGACAUGGUUAGUGAUGAAUUAAUUCGGGUAUAAACCUUGUAAUACCGUUGGUAAGUCCUGUAUGGCUGAUUGAAUCGCCUAUGGAGGUCCCCGGUUGGGUUUAUAACGAAUAAUUCGUGGUUUGCAUAAAAUAUAUUAAACUAGAUAAAUAGUUGAAUCGCCUAUGGUAAAGAUUUAGAACCAGAAAAUGAAGAUUCUUAUGCUGUCAUUACAGGGAAAACUGAUAAUGGGAUUUUUUAAACAAAUUCCACAAAAGAGAUUAUAUUAUAUGUAGAUCACAAAGAUUUUCAGUAGAUACAUAAUCCUUGGAUUGUCAUGAAAAGAUAUUUAAAUAUGUAGAAAUCUUUAACUUGAUUUUUAUAAUAAGAAACUUAUAUUACAAGAGAGAAAAGAGAUGGGAGAUCUUAAGGAGAGAGAUGUGUUUGGAGAAGAGAGAUGGGAGAUCUAAGCCUGCUCCCUAAAUGAAAUCUAUGCCCCUUAUAUAGAAAAAUAUUGUGCACAGUAAAAAUGCACAAUACCCUACAAGAAAUACAAAAGUCAAAAAGUGCACAGUGAUAUGCACAGUAAAAGUGCACAGUACAAAGUAAUCCUAUCUAGAGAAAGAAAAUCUGUUGAUUAUGGCCAAAACUUUAUAAAGAGGUUUAUAAUUUAUAACUAGUCUUGGUACACCUCUUUCUUGUUCUGCAUGGUUAUUAAGAGGUUUAUAAUUUAUAACUAGUCUUGGUACACCUCUUUCUUGUUCUGCAUGUUUAUUAACAUAAAAAGCAGUACAUGACCAAGCAGUACUGGACUGUCUUAUUAAAUUCUUUUUUCAAUAAAUUAUCAAUCUCGAUUUUACAUAGAUCUAAAUAAGCAGAAUUCAUUUGGCAAGGUCUUGCCUUAGUAGGAAUAUUAUUUUCAGUAAACCAAUCUUCAUAGGGUAAUGUCACUACAUAUUUUUUUCUAUCCCAAANNNNNNNNNNNNNNNNNNNNNNNNNNNNNNNNNNNACAUAGAUCUAAAUAAGCAGAAUUCAUUUGGCAAGGUCUUGCCUUAGUAGGAAUAUUAUUUUCAGUAAACCAAUCUUCAUAGGGUAAUGUCACUACAUACUUCUUUCUAUCCCAAAAACCACUAGGAUGAUCAUCACAAAUAUUAGUAAUAAACUGAAUUUUUAAUAAAUCAAUUUUCUCCUGUAAUUUAGGGGUUUUCAGCAAAACAUCUAUCUCUAAUAAAGUAAUUUCUUGUUUUAUAAAAUUAAUAUGUUGAUUCUUUAGAAUCAACUUCUCAACAAGCUGGUUUAUGAAUUUUGUAAAAGGUUUAGUGAUAAAAUCUAAUUGAAAAUCAGUAUUUCUAUAAGUUCCCACUAUUUUGGUAUGAUCCCACCCCUGAAAGUUUUGUUGCUGCAUUACGUGAUGGUAGAAAUUUAAAUUGGAAAAAUUCUUUAAUAGGGUCAAUACAACCGAAUUUGGCGUACGAGGCAAUAUAUUUCAAUGCUUAUCCAAAUUUGAAUAUUGCAUUAACAGAUGUGAAUAUUUUACAAUCGUCUAUUUUGAACAUCAAAAUUAAUGGAUAUAAUUAUUUACCUGGAACGGAAGUUAUGUGUAUUUGUACUAGAAUUGUUUAUAGACCUAACCGAUAAUGACAGCAUAAGAAUCUUUAUUUUCUGGUUCAAAAUCUUUAAUCUGCUCCUCAACAGAGGUGGGUUUAUAGAUUUUGUAAAAGGCUUGGUAAUAAAAUCUAACUGAAAAUCUUUAUCCUUAUAAGUUCCUAUUAUUUUAGUAUGAUCCCAGCAUUUUAAAGGAAAUAUAGCAUGCAUGAAUGGGACACCUAUAAUAAUUGGACAAGAAAUAUCUUCUACAAUCAUAAAACUUUGAGGCAAACAAGUUCCCUUAUUACAUAAAAAUGCCUUUGGUAAUUUAUAAUUUAAUUUCAUUCUACUUCCAUUAGCUGAUCUUAAACAAUAAGUUGUUUUAUAGAAAUAUCUAGAAGGAAUAAGUCCUUCUUGAACACAAUUUACAUCUGCACCACUAUCAAAUAAAGCAACCAAUUUUUUUCUAAAAUUAUAGUCAAUUUGUAAAAUAAUCUCAGUAUAAAAUUAUUGUGAUGUAAUAAUACUCAUUUUCUGUAGGAAUUCCUUUUUAUCCAUGCUAAAACCUUAAACCCCUUCAAGGCAAGCUUAUGGAAGUUGUUAUUCAACACUUAACUUUCUUUUAGUAUGUCUUGGUUUAAUAAACCAAAGUUUAUUAAAAAUAUGAUUAAAGAACAAGUUGAUUUCCCUGUUCAACAAGAUUUAUUAAAUACCUGUGUGAUUCCUAAAGUAAAUAUUUAGACUAUAUAUAAAUUAGGAACUUUUUAAAGAUUUGCUGGAAAAACUACUGUGAAAAUCACAGAGUUGAGUUUUACAAUGGAUAAAGAUCUGAGACUAUAUGUAAAUUUGGAACUUUUGAAAGAUUUGCUGGAAAAACUACAGUGAAAACCACAGAGUUGAGUUUUACAAUGGAUAAAGAUAGUGGAGUUUUUAAUUUAUUAUCUCAAAAUGACAUAGACUACUAUAGAUUUAAAGAAUUUUCUAUCCCUUGGAUUUUCCGAUGGACUAUUGAAGUAGGAACCAAAUCAAGAGCAGGACCUUUUUAGGGCUGUAGGACCUUUUAUAGAGCUGGGAUUUAUCUAGUUUAAUAUAUUUUAUGCAAACCACGAAUUAUUCGUUAUAAACCCAACCGGGAACAUCCAUAGGCGAUUCAACCAGCCAUACAAGACUUACCAGCGGUAUUACAAGGUUUAUACCCGAAUUAAUUCAUCACUAACCAUGUCGACAACACCCCUUUUAGGGCUUACCAACGCCAUGAUUUAAGCUUAGUUU